rnacentral:rRNA from 1 species
UACAGAGGUCCCAAGCGUUGUUCGGAUUCAUUGGGCGUAAAGGGUGCGUAGGCGGCGCGGUAAGUCGGGUGUGAAAUCUCGGAGCUUAACUCCGAAACUGCAUUCGAUACUGCCGUGCUUGAGGACUGGAGAGGAGACUGGAAUUUACGGUGUAGCGGUGAAAUGCGUAGAUAUCGGGAAGAACACCCGUGGCGAAGGCGGUUCUCUGGGACGGUACUGACGCUGAGACGCGAAAGCGUGGGGAGCGAACAGG